rnacentral:rRNA from 1 species
UACGUAGGGGGCGAGCGUUGUCCGGAGUUACUGGGCGUAAAGCGCACGCAGGCGGUCUGUUAAGUUUGGAGUGACAGUUGGUGGCCCAACCACCAAAGUGCUUUGAAAGCUGAUAGACUUGAGGGCUUCAGAGGGACACGGAAUUCCGGGUGGAGUGGUGAAAUGCGUAGAGAUCCGGAGGAACACCAAUGGCGAAGGCAGUGUCCUGGGGAGUACCUGACGCUCAGGUGCGAAAGCCAGGGGAGCGAACGGG